rnacentral:rRNA from 1 species
AACGAACGCUGGCGGCAUGCCUAACACAUGCAAGUCGAACGAAGCCUUCGGGCUUAGUGGCGCACGGGUGCGUAACGCGUGGGAAUCUGCCCUUAGGUGCGGAAUAACUCAGGGAAACUUGAGCUAAUACCGCAUAAUGACUCCGGUCCAAAGAUUUAUCGCCUAAGGAUGAGCCCGCGUCGGAUUAGCUAGUUGGUGAGGUAAAAGCUCACCAAGGCGACGAUCCGUAGCUGGUCUGAGAGGAUGAUCAGCCACACUGGGACUGAGACACGGCCCAGACUCCUACGGGAGGCAGCAGUGGGGAAUAUUGGACAAUGGGCGAAAGCCUGAUCCAGCAAUGCCGCGUGAGUGAUGAAGGCCUUAGGGUUGUAAAGCUCUUUUACCCGGGAUGAUAAUGACAGUACCGGGAGAAUAAGCCCCGGCUAACUCCGUGCCAGCAGCCGCCGUAA